GCCUCUUUAGCACAGUGGUAGUGCGUCUGCCUCGUAAGCAGAAGGCCGGGUGUUCGAUCCACCCAGGAGGCA